GACGAACGCUGGCGGCGUGCUUAACACAUGCAAGUCGAACGGACAGGCCCUGCUUUUGCGGGGUGCUCGAGUGGCGAACGGGUGAGUAUCACGCGUGUAACCCGCCCCUGUCUUUGGGAUAACUUCAGGAAACUGGGGCUAUUACAGGAUAGGAGCUCCUGCUGCACGGUGGGGGUUGGAAAGUUUCGGCGGUUGUGGAUGGUCUCGCGGCUUAUCAGCUUGUUUGUGGGGUAGUGGCUUACCAAGGUUUUGACGGGUAGCCGGCCUGAGAGGGUGACCGGCGACAUUAGGACUGAGAGACGCACCAGACUCCUACGGGAGGCAGCAGGGGGGAAUAUUGCGCAAUGGGCGGGAGCCUGAUGCAGCAGCGCCGCGUGCGGGAUGACGGCCUACGGGUUGUAAACCGCUUUCGCCGGUGACGAGGCGUGAGUGACGGUAAUGGGUAAAGAAGCACCGGCUAACUACGUG
rnacentral:rRNA from 1 species